AAAAAUUUCUCCAUAUCCAAACAAGGAUUCGUUUUACUCUCUAACCAUACUUUUAAAACUUGAUCCAGAUAUUCUGUUAGAACGCUUUCAAUCACCGAAAUGGGCAAGUACCUUCUACAAAGGCAACGGAAGCAUGUAAGGAUUCGGUCGAGUUCAGGACUUAAAAUAGGACUUUCUAAGACACUCUGUUCGUAAACAAGCCAAAAGUCACUUAGUUGGUCCGUUAAGUCGUGUAGACUGCAUAUGUUUUUUAAAUCAAUCUUUAAGAGAUUUUGGCGAAUAGUGGUAUAGAAAUGAAUUCUCAACUUGUCAAUAAAAUCCAAUACUGGUGUUCCCUGUGUGACUGAGCUCAAUUGAUCGAUCAACAACGAACGGCCAGUAAAGGUGGACAGAUCAGUA